CUCAGUCUACUGUGGUCUUCUUCAGGCAGGGAUGAGCUCACCCUCUAAUCUGGGCUGCAUUGUCCCUUGGGCAGUGGGACACCAGCUGCUGAUAAGUGGCAGGGCUAGUGUGGCAGGGCUGCUCUCAUCAGGAGGAGUCCCCAGGGACAUCAGAUCCAUGUUGAGAGUUGGACACUCUCAACAAGAGACCCUCCUGAAAAUCCUGUCCAGCCUGUGGCCCAGCAACGCUUUAGGAAAUGGGAGUUUAUUUCCCUGCUAAGGGCAUCUUCUCACCACAGCUCCUCAGCCUAGGUCCAAGUCUCUGUGUUUCCCACAGGUCUGAGUAUCACUGUGUCCUGGGAUGAAGGGCUACACAUUCCUGUACUUUGCAACAUGGUUUCUCCUUGGCCACCACAGCAAGAAAGAUGCCUGGUACCUCUCCAUCCAUCCCAAGGGGCCAUACUGACGCCUACCUCUGCCUACUACAAUCUCCAUAGAUCUUCUUACAUGAUACUGUAUCCCCCACCUCACUGCACCUUUAUCUUAGUGACUUUUGCUACCCUGCCAUCAAAAUACCUGAUGACCUGGGAGUUCCACAGCCUCCCAACCAGUGCCACCAGCCGAGGAACAAGCAUUCAAAGCAGCCUGCAGGAGCCAUGAGAGUCAAACCACAUCAAUCCUGAUAGGGGUACACUCCUAAAGUACCCCAAAGUCCUCAGCGGCUCCCCAUCACCAAGCCCUGCUCAACAGUGGGUCUUGCUUUCUCCAUGAGUGGCACAAUGUAGACCAAUGAUCAUGUAACACUGGCUGUGAUGUACUAAGUUCCCAAGGUCAGGAGCAGGGCUGCUUCUCCUCCAAGCAGGAUACAGCACUGUCUUUCCUUACAAGGGGUCCCAGGAAGGAUGCCCGGGCUGUGGACGGGAGCAUGCUGCCUUCUCUGUAUUCAGAGGUCUGUAACCUAAGUGUGCCCCAGGAAAAGUGACAGCUGGGAAAUUCAGCUAAAUAAACAGUGUCCCUGAACAUGAAGCUUUCCAUUACAAUAACAUACAAGCCAAGAUGUUAAGGAGUCAAGGAAGACUUCAACAAAGCUCAGAGAAGCCACCUCUGUUUGGAUUUCAGCAGCUGUCUGCCGGUGGAAGGCUCCAGAGUCACUGACACGUAUAUAUAUCUCCAUUUUGCUAACGUCAUAAGGAACAAACAUUUUCAGAUCUUCCCCAGAGUCACAAGGCCAUUUGUAUUUCUUCAAAUUAAAGGAGGCAGGGCAGGAGGAAAAAAGGUUUUGGACCAAAUCAUCUGUGAGCACAGCCAGACAGUUUUUAAUUUGCCUAAUGAUAAGCCUUAAUUUAGAGAUUUGUCUCAAAGUAACUGUUCCUGUAGCAGACAUGCUGACAUGAAGUGCUGGUGGCUCUCAUUCUGGAGGAGUAAGACCUGAGAAGCAAACACCACAAUUUCCAAACAGCCACAUCACGGAAGUGCAUGGAGCAGCUUCUGGAAGUACUUCCAGGAGCUGGGGAGGGGCUGCUAGGUGUACAGCCCACACCUCAGUGGCAACUCAGCAGAAGUGUCACCGGGGAGCUCCUCUUGGGUCUGGAUAAACUGUCCGAAAGGUUAAGUUUAUUCUCCGUUCUCUGGAGUGGUAUUCCUUGGGCACUCGGUGCUAAAUGGAAAUAUAAAUAGUUGUCCAGCAUAAAUAUAUACGCAUUUUUUAUUAGUUCAA